rnacentral:rRNA from 1 species
GACGAACGCUGGCGGCGUGCCUAAUACAUGCAAGUCGAACGAAGUGGCGCACGGGUGAGCAAUAUAUAGUUAAUCUGCCCUAUAACGUGCACAAACAGUUGGAAACGACUGCUAAUACCUCAUAGUGAAGGACGAGAAUAUAUCGUAUCAGCUAGUUGGGAAGGUUAUGGCUUCCCAAGGCUAUGACGCGUAACUGGUCUGAGAGGAUGAUCAGUAACAGUUGAACUGAGACACGGGCCAAGAUCCUACGGGAAGCAACGGUAGGGAGUACUGCGCAAUGGGGGAAACCCAAACGCGGCAGCGCCGCGUGAAGGAAGACACUUUUCGGAGAGUAAACUCCUUUUUUCAGGAAAGCGGUACCUGAUGAAUAAGCACCGGCUAACUCCGUGCCAGCAGCCGCGGUAAUAC